rnacentral:sRNA from 1 species
UUCUUAAGGUAUACGGCAGUGUUCACAGC